GACAGAGGGGGCAAGCGUUGCUCGGAAUUACUGGGCGUAAAGCGUGCGCAGGCGGUUCUGAAAGUCAGCUGUGAAAGCCCCGGGCUUAACCUGGGAAUUGCGGUUGAAACUACAGGGCUAGAAUCUGGCAGAGGGGGGUGGAAUUCCACGUGUAGCAGUGAAAUGCGUAGAGAUGUGGAGGAACACCGAUGGCGAAGGCAGCCCCCUGGGCUGAGAUUGACGCUCAGGCGCGAAAGCGUGGGGAGCAAACAGG
rnacentral:rRNA from 1 species